rnacentral:misc_RNA from 1 species
GGAAGUAAAAGACGUAACAAGGUUUCCGUAGGUGAACCUGCGGAAGGAUCAUUACAGAGUUCAUGCCCUCACGGGUAGAUCUCCCACCCUUGAAUAUUUAUACCUUAGUUGCUUUGGCAGGCCGUGGAAACACCAUGGGCUCCGGCUUAUGCGUGCCUGCCAGAGGAAACAAACUCUGUUUUUAGUGAUGUCUGAGUACUAUAUAAUAGUUAAAACUUUCAACAACGGAUCUCUUGGUUCUG